rnacentral:rRNA from 1 species
GAUGAACGCUAGCUACAGGCUUAACACAUGCAAGUCGAGGGGCAGCAUGAUUGAAGCUUGCUUCAAUCGAUGGCGACCGGCGCACGGGUGAGUAACACGUAUCCAACCUGCCGAUAACUCGGGGAUAGCCUUUCGAAAGAAAGAUUAAUACCCGAUAGUAUAGUAUUUCCGCAUGGUUUCACUAUUAAAGAACUUCGGUUAUCGAUGGGGAUGCGUUCCAUUAGAUAGUUGGCGGGGUAACGGCCCACCAAGUCAACGAUGGAUAGCGGUUCUGAGAGGAAGGUCCACCACAAUGGAACUGAGACACAGUCCAAACUCCGACGGGAGGCAGCAGUGAGGAAUAUUGGGCGAUGGACGAGAGUCUGAACCAGCCAAGUAGCGUGAAGGAUGACUGCCCUAUGGGUUGUAAACUUCUUUUAUACGGGAAUAAAGUGGAGUAUGCAUACUCCUUUGUAUGUACCGUAUGAAUAAGGAUCGGCUAACUCCGUG